rnacentral:rRNA from 1 species
UACGGGGGGAGCAAGCGUUGUUCGGAUUUACUGGGCGUAAAGGGCGCGUAGGUGGCUCGUUAAGCGUGUGGUGAAAGCCUGGGGCUCAACCCCAGGUCUGCCGUGCGAACUGGCGAGCUUGAGCAGAGUAGAGGCGGGUGGAAUUUCGGGUGUAGCGGUGGAAUGCGUAGAUAUCCGAAAGAACACCGGUGGCGAAGGCGGCCCGCUGGGCUCUUGCUGACACUGAUGCGCGACAGCGUGGGGAGCAAACAGG